rnacentral:rRNA from 1 species
GACGAACGCUGGCGGCGUGCUUAACACAUGCAAGUCGAACGGAAAGGCCUCUUUCGGGGGGUACUCGAGUGGCGAACGGGUGAGUAACACGUGAGUAACCUGCCCUUGACUUUGGGAUAACUUCAGGAAACUGGGGCUAAUACCGGAUAGGAGCUCCUGCUGCAUGGUGGGGGUUGGAAAGUUUCGGCGGUUGGGGAUGGACUCGCGGCUUAUCAGCUUGUUGGUGGGGUAGUGGCUUACCAAGGCUUUGACGGGUAGCUGGCCUGAGAGGGUGACCGGCCACAUUGGGACUGAGAUACGGCCCAGACUCCUACGGGAGGCAGCAGUGGGGAAGAUUGCACAAUGGGUGGAAGCCUGAUGCAGCAACGCCGUGUGCGGGAUGACGGCCUUCGGGUUGUAAACCGCUUUCGCUCAUGACGAAGCUUUGUGUGACGGUAGUGGGUAAAGAAGCACCGGCUAACUACGUG